AGCGAACGCUGGCGGCAGGCUUAACACAUGCAAGUCGAACGCCCCGCAAGGGGAGUGGCAGACGGGUGAGUAACACGUGGGAACGUACCCUUUGGUUCGGAAUAACUUGGGGAAACUCAAGCUAAUACCGGAUAAGCCCUUAUGGGGAAAGGUUUACUGCCGAAGGAUCGGCCCGCGUCUGAUUAGCUAGUUGGUGAGGUAACGGCUCACCAAGGCGACGAUCAGUAGCUGGUCUGAGAGGAUGAUCAGCCACACUGGGACUGAGACACGGCCCAGACUCCUACGGGAGGCAGCAGUGGGGAAUAUUGGACAAUGGGGGCAACCCUGAUCCAGCCAUGCCGCGUGAGUGAUGAAGGCCUUAGGGUUGUAAAGCUCUUUUACCCGGGACGAUAAUGACUGUACCGGGAGAAUAAGCCCCGGCUAACAUCGUCCCAGCAGCCGCCGUAA
rnacentral:rRNA from 1 species